ACACAUGCAAGUCGAACGAUGAAGCCCAGCUUGCUGGGUGGAUUAGUUNGCGAACGGGUGAGUAACACGUGAGCAACGUGCCCAUAACUCUGGGAUAACCUCCGGAAACGGUGGCUAAUACUGGAUAUCUAACACGAUCGCAUGGUCUGUGUUUGGAAAGAUUUUUUGGUUAUGGAUCGGCUCACGGCCUAUCAGCUUGUUGGUGAGGUAAUGGCUCACCAAGGCGACGACGGGUAGCCGGCCUGAGAGGGUGACCGGCCACACUGGGACUGAGACACGGCCCAGACUCCUACGGGAGGCAGCAGUGGGGAAUAUUGCACAAUGGGCGAAAGCCUGAUGCAGCAACGCCGCGUGAGGGAUGACGGCCUUCGGGUUGUAAACCUCUUUUAGUAGGGAAGAAGCGAAAGUGACGGUACCUGCAGAAAAAGCACCGGCUAACUACGUGCCAGCAGCCGCGGUAAUACGUAGGGUGCAAGCGUUGUCCGGAAUUAUUGGGCGUAAAGAGCUCGUAGGCGGUUUGUCGCGUCUGCUGUGAAAUCCCGAGGCUCAACCUCGGGUCUGCAGUGGGUACGGGCAGACUAGAGUGUGGUAGGGGAGAUUGGAAUUCCUGGUGUAGCGGUGGAAUGCGCAGAUAUCAGGAGGAACACCGAUGGCGAAGGCAGAUCUCUGGGCCAUUACUGACGCUGAGGAGCGAAAGCAUGGGGAGCGAACAGGAUUAGAUACCCUGGUAGUCCAUGCCGUAAACGUUGGGCGCUAGAUGUGGGGACCAUUCCACGGUUUCCGUGUCGUAGCUAACGCAUUAAGCGCCCCG
rnacentral:rRNA from 1 species